rnacentral:rRNA from 1 species
AUUGAACGCUGGCGGCAGGCUUAACACAUGCAAGUCGAGCGGGGUGAUGGUGCUUGCACUAUCACUUAGCGGCGGACGGGUGAGUAAUGCUUAGGAAUCUGCCUAUUAGUGGGGGACAACAUCUCGAAAGGGAUGCUAAUACCGCAUACGUCCUACGGGAGAAAGCAGGCGAUCACUUGUGACCUUGCGCUAAUAGAUGAGCCUAAGUCGGAGUAGCUAGUUGGUGGGGUAAAGGCCUACCAAGGCGACGAUCUGUAGCGGGUCUGAGAGGUUGAUCCGCCACACUGGGACUGAGACACGGCCCAGACUCCUACGGGAGGCAGCAGUGGGGAAUAUUGGACAAUGGGGGGAACCCUGAUCCAGCCAUGCCGCGUGUGUGAAGAAGGCCUUAUGGUUGUAAAGCACUUUAAGCGAGGAGGAGUCUCUUUUGGUUAAUACCCAAGAUGAGUGGACGUUACUCGCAGAAUAAGCACCGGCUAACUCUGUGCCAGCCGCCGCAGUAA